AAAAUUUGUAAUGCUAUUUAGCAAAAAGUUAACAAUAUCGUAUAGCCUCCACAUAAUAAUAAUAAAAAGUGGGGAAUGAAGAUCAAUUGUCAUCCACAACUCUAAAGAAGCUAUUAAAAAAAGCACUAAAACACUUUGCUUAGAACUGUUUGAUGUCUACCAAGAAAGAUAAUAAGGAAACCCCAAUCCACAAACAAAAUUGAUAAGCUUGGAUUGUGUCAG
rnacentral:misc_RNA from 1 species